UCUGGUUGAUCCUGGCUGAACUGAUAAGCUUCUUUCAAAGAUUUAGCCAUGCAUGUGUAAGUAGAGUUGAUUUAACAGCGAAACUGCGAACGGCUCAUUACAACAGAUAUAAUUUACUUGUUCUAUGAAUUAAACGGAUAACUGCGGUAAUUCUGGAGCCAAUACGUGCGUCAAGCCCGAUUCAGAGAUGAGUUGGGUGCACUUAUCGGAGCAAAACCAAUCCUUUUGGAAACUUUGCUAACUCUGGAUAACUCUGCGCAUCGCACGUCUUUUCGACGGCGAGAUUACAUUCAAGUAUCUGCCUUAUCAAUUUUCGUUAGUGUAUUGGACUACCAAGAUAUUGACGGGUAACGGAGAAUCAGGGUUUGACUCCGGAGAGGCCGCCUUAGAAACGGCGACCAUGUCUAAGGAUAGCAGCAGGCGCGAAAAUUACCCACUGUUCAUCGAACGAGGUAGUGACGAGAAAUAACGUGAAGGAAAACUCUGUUUUUCUUCAACGGAAUGGAACUUUUUUAGAAAUAAAGUUGAGUAGCCGGGAGAGGGCAAGUAUGGUGCCAGCAGCUGCGGUAAUUCCAUCUCUCCAAGUUUAUAGAAUUAUUGUUGCGUUUAAAAAGUUCGUAGUUGGAUUGUCCGACUGCUCAGGGUGGACCUUAACGGGCCCUACUCUGGGCAGUGUUUUGCGUGUUUGUUCACACAGCGAUGUGUGGAUGCGCGCAGGAUUGCUUUGAACGGCUUAAGUGCUCAAGGCGGGUCUUCGGACCGAAUACCGGUGCAUGGAAUAAUGGAACAAGGUUUCGGCCGAGUUUUAUUGGUUUUGUCGGCUAAAACAAUGGUUAACAGGAACGGCCGGGGGCAUUCGUAUCGCUGCGCGAGAGGUGAAAUUCGUGGACCGCAGCGAGACGUCCUGAAGCGAAGGCGUUUGCCAAGAGCGUUUUCAUUAAUCAAGAACGAAAGUCAGAGGUUCGAAGGCGAUUAGAUACCGCCCUAGUUCUGACCGUAAACGAUGCCAACUAUCGAUCCGCUCGUGGAUUCCAAUUCAUGAGCGGGGAGGUUUCCGGAAACGAAAGUUUUUCGGUUCCGGGGGAAGUAUGGUUGCAAAGCUGAAACUUAAAGGAAUUGACGGAAGGGCACCACCAGGAGUGGAGCUUGCGGCUUAAUUUGACCCAACACGGGAAAUCUCACCCGGCCAGUACAUCGUGAGGAUUGACAGAUUGAAAGCUCUUUCAUGAUUCGGUGAAUGGUGGUGCAUGGCCGUUCUUAGUUCGUGGCGUGAGUCGUCUGCUUAAUUGCGAUAACGAGCGAGACUCCAACUGUUAACUAGCCAGUUCGUUAUUUCUGCGUUCAGGCUUCUUAAAGGGAUUUGUGGUUUUUAGCCUCAAGAAAUGGAGCAAUAACAGGUCUGUGAUGCCCUUAGAUGUUCGGGGCCGCACGCGUGCUACAAUAAGGUACGCAGCUUGAUUGUCCUCGCCCGACAGGGCUUGGCAAACCGUGAGAUUAUCUUAUGGCUGGAAUUGGGUGUUGAAAUUAUCUCCCAUGAACGAGGAAUUCCAAGUAAAUGCGAGUCAUCAACUUGCAUUGAUUACGUCCCUGCCCUUUGUACACACCGCCCGUCGCUACCCGGGACUGAGUUGUUUCGAGAAAUCUACGGACUGUUCUCUAGUUGGUUCGCCAGCUUCUGGACGGAAAGUAGCUUAAUCGCGACGGCUUGAACCGGGUAAAAGUCGUAACAAGGUG
rnacentral:rRNA from 1 species